AUUGAACGCUGGCGGCAGGCCUAACACAUGCAAGUCGAGCGAGCGGCGGACGGGUGAGUAAUGUAUGGGGACUGCCCGAUAGAGGGGGGUAAAUACUGGAAACGGUGGCUAAGACCGCAUAAUGUCGGAUAACCCAUAUGGGGUUAGCUAGUAGGUAAGGUAAUGGCUUACCUAGGGCACGAUCCCUAGCUGGUCUGAGAGGAUGAUCAGCCACACUGGGACUGAGACACGGCCCAGACUCCUACGGAGGCAGCAGUGGGGAAUAUUGCACAAUGGGCGCAAGCCUGAUGCAGCCAUGCCGCGUGUAUGAAGAAGGCCCUAGGGUUGUAAAGUACUUUCAGUCGGGAGGCGUUACCGACAGAAGAAGCACCGGCUAACUCCGUGCCAGCCGCCGCGGUAAUAC
rnacentral:rRNA from 1 species